GAUGAACGCUAGCUACAGGCUUAACACAUGCAAGUCGAGGGGUAACGAGAGGAAAGCUUGCUUUCCUUGUCGACGACCGGCGCACGGGUGAGUAACGCGUAUCCAACCUGCCCCCAACUAGGGAAUAACCUUGAGAAAGUAAGACUAAUACCCUAUAAUUUCCUCAGGUGUCAUCUGACGAGGAAUAAAGAUUUACCGGUUGUGGAUGGGGAUGCGUCUGAUUAGCUUGUUGGCGGGUUAACGGCCCACCAAGGCAACGAUCAGUAGGGGUUCUGAGAGGAAGGUCCCCCACAUUGGAACUGAGACACGGUCCAAACUCCUACGGGAGGCAGCAGUGAGGAAUAUUGGUCAAUGGGCGGAAGCCUGAACCAGCCAAGUAGCGUGCAGGAUGACGGCCCUAUGGGUUGUAAACUGCUUUUAUACAGGAAUAAAGUUAGCCACGUGUGGUUAUUUGUAGGUACUGUAUGAAUAAGGACCGGCUAAUUCCGUGCCAGCAGCCGCCGUAA
rnacentral:rRNA from 1 species